AUGGGGUUGACAGAUUUUAAGUUAAGUCUGACAUUUUAUUUCUAUUUUAAAAUUACAGCAUUACGAGCACUACAAACUCUCCACUGCACAAUAUCCAACCAUCUAUUCAGAGCACAACCUGUAUUUUUCACUGCAGUUGAACGCCUGGUUUUGGAUUUUCUCAAAGUAGCAGUUGUUCUGUAUUGUUCUCACCCCUCCCCCACCCCACCCUACCCCCACCCACAAAAAAAAAAAACAAAAAAAAAAAACAUUAUUUUCAAUACUAAGUUGAUCAUUUGUGUUCAAUUACUACUGUUCUUUUAA
rnacentral:lncRNA from 1 species